rnacentral:rRNA from 1 species
AUGAUGACCCGGCCACUUGGAAGCAAUGAGAAGCCAUUGGGUCUGUUUGCUUCUCUUGACAUUAAAAAUAAGGACAUGAGGCUUGUGUCUUUUUCUACGGAAAGGAUGUCAUAUAUUGAUCCCAACUACCGGCCAUGUACUGUUUCACGUUACUUCAACAACACCUCUGUUGCAGGGAAGCCUCUCAAAAGUAAGAACAAGAAAGCUGCACCGAGGUUUAUUAUUGGUGAAAAUCUGAGGUGGAUUGGUUCGGUUAAAUUAGCAGUGCUCCGCAACAUCCUUGUUGCCAUUCAAAGGCUCACGUCGUUAGAUGCAAUACUGAUGAAACCAGAAAGGCCGGAUGAAACACAGCUAGAUCAAACACGGCUAAGGAAUUGCUCUGCCUCUGUUGAAAUGCUUGGCCAGAUGGCCCAUGGUAUUAGUUCGUACACUGAUCAUUUACCUGCAACCAGCAUCCAAUACCAUGUUGACGCACUUAAAGAAGGGUUUUCUAUUUUGGGUGGUAAGACUUUCCCAUUUAUGGACAAUGACGAGUAUGCAAGUUUUGUCGAUAUCACACACUUCAAAAUAUUGGAUGUCGUAAAAGUGGCGCGCAGCAGUCUUGUAAAAGAAUUGCUGCCUAAAAGACUGGACGAUCCACAUUAUUCGCUCCGAUCUGUGGAACGGACUCUUAUGUAUGGAGAGCUGCCACUGACACCGUAUCUGAGGCGUCUUGACCUGUCAGAAGGAUGUGCUUAG